AUACGUAGGGGGCGAGCGUUGUCCGGAAUGAUUGGGCGUAAAGGGCGCGUAGGCGGCCCGGUAAGUCUGGAGUGAAAGUCCUGCUUUUAAGGUGGGAAUUGCUUUGGAUACUGUCGGGCUUGAGUGCAGGAGAGGUAAGUGGAAUUCCCAGUGGAGCGGUGAAAUGCGUAGAGAUUGGGAGGAACACCAGUGGCGAAGGCGACUUACUGGACUGUAACUGACGCUGAGGCGCGAAAGUGUGGGGAGCAAACAGGAUUAGAUACCCUGGUAGUCCACACUGUAAACGAUGAAUGCUAGGUGUAGGGGGUAUCGACCCCUUCUGUGCCGCAGUUAACACAAUAAGCAUUCCGCCUGGGGAGUACGGCCGCAAGGUUGAAACUCAAAGGAAUUGACGGGG
rnacentral:rRNA from 1 species